rnacentral:rRNA from 1 species
ACGCUGGCGGCACGCCUAACACAUGCAAGUCGAACGAAGUAGCAAUACUUAGUGGCAGACGGGUGAGUAACAUGUGGGUAUCUGCCCUUUGGCCUGGAAUAACACGAGGAAACUUGUGCUAAUACCGGAUAAGUCUUUACGGAGAAAGCUUUAUGCACCAUUGGAUGAGCCCGCACUUGAUUAGUUUGUUGGUAGGGUAAUGGCCUACCAAGACUGUGAUCAAUAGCUGAUUUGAGAGGAUGAUCAGCCACAUUGGGACUGAGACACGGCCCAAACUCCUACGGGAGGCAGCAGUGGGGAAUCUUGCACAAUGGAGGAAACUCUGAUGCAGCGAUGCCGCGUGAGUGAAGAAGGCCCUUGGGUUGUAAAGCUCUUUCGUCGGGGAAGAAAAUGACUGUACUCGAAUAAGAAGGUCCGGCUAACUUCGUGCCAGCAGCCGCGGUAAUACGAAGGGACCUAGCGUAGUUCGGAAUUACUGGGCUUAAAGAGUUCGUAGGUGGUUGAAAAAGUUGGUGGUGAAAUCCCAGAGCUUAACUCUGGAACUGCCAUCAAAACUUUUCAGCUAGAGUAUGAUAGAGGAAAGCAGAAUUUCUAGUGUAGAGGUGAAAUUCGUAGAUAUUAGAAAGAAUACCAAUUGCGAAGGCAGCUUUCUGGAUCAUUACUGACACUGAGGAACGAAAGCAUGGGUAGCGAAGAGGAUUAGAUACCCUCGUAGUCCAUGCCGUAAACGAUGUGUGUUAGACGUUGGAAAUUUAUUUUCAGUGUCGCAGCGAAAGCGAUAAACACACCGCCUGGGGAGUACGACCGCAAGGUUAAAACUCAAAUGAAUUGACGGGGACCCGCACAAGUAGUGGAGCAUGUGGUUUAAUUCGAAGAUACGCGCAGAACCUUACCAACACUUGACAUGUUCGUCGCGACUCUAAGAGAUUAGAGUUUUCGGUUCGGCCGGACGAAACACAGGUGCUGCAUGGCUGUCGUCAGCUCGUGUCGUGAGAUGUUGGGUUACGUCCCGCAACGAGCGCAACCCUCACUUUUAGUUGCCAUCAUUAAGUUGGGCACUCUGAAAGAACUGCCAGUGAUAAGCUGAAGGAAGGUGGGGAUGACGUCAAGUCCUCAUGGCCCUUACGUGUUGGGCUACACACGUGCUACAAUGGUAUCUACAACAGGAAGCAAGACUGCGAAGUUAAGCAAAUCCCUAAAAGAUACCUCAGUUCGGAUUGCACUCUGCAACUCGAGUGCAUGAAGCUGGAAUUACUAGUAAUCGUGGAUCAGCGUGCCACGGUGAAUGCGUUCCCGGGUCUUGCACUCACCGCCC